UACGUAGGGUGCAAGCGUUAAUCGGAAUUACUGGGCGUAAAGCGUGCGCAGGCGGUUUCGUAAGUCUGUCGUGAAAUCCCCGGGCUUAACCUGGGAAUGGCGAUGGAGACUGCGAGGCUAGAGUUUGGCAGAGGGGGGGUAGAAUUCCACGUGUAGCAGUGAAAUGCGUAGAGAUGAUGGAGGAACACCGAUGGCGAAGGCAGCCCCCUGGGUCAAAACUGACGCUCAUGCACGAAAGCGUGGGGAGCAAACAGG
rnacentral:rRNA from 1 species